rnacentral:rRNA from 1 species
GACGAACGCUGGCGGCGUGCUUAACACAUGCAAGUCGAACGGAAAGGCCUCUUUCGGGGGGUACUCGGGUGGCGAACGGGUGAGUAACACGUGAGUAACCUGCCCUUGACUUUGGGAUAACUUCAGGAAACUGGGGCUAAUACCGGAUAGGAGCUCCUGCUGCAUGGUGGGGGUUGGAAAGUUUCGGCGGUUGGGGAUGGACUCGCGGCUUAUCAGCUUGUUGGUGGGGUAGUGGCUUACCAAGGCUUUGACGGGUAGCCGGCCUGAGAGGGUGACCGGCCACAUUGGGACUGAGAUACGGCCCAGACUCCUACGGGAGGCAGCAGUGGGGAAGAUUGCACAAGGGGCGGAAGCCUGAUGCAGCAACGCCGUGUGCGGGAUGACGGCCUUCGGGUUGUAAACCGCUUUCGCUCAUGACGAAGCUUUGUGUGACGGUAGUGGGUAAAGAAGCACCGGCUAACUACGUG